rnacentral:rRNA from 1 species
UACGGGGGGAGCAAGCGUUGUUCGGAUUUACUGGGCGUAAAGGGCGCGUAGGCGGUCAGCACAAGUCAGUUGUGAAAUCUCCGGGCUUAACCCGGAAAGGUCAACUGAUACUGCGGGGCUAGAGUGCAGAAGGGGCGAACUGGAAUUCUCGGUGUAGCGGAUGAAAUGCGUAGAUAUCGAGAGGAACACCUGCGGCGAAGGCGGGUUGCUGGGCUGACACUGACGCUGAACUGCGAAAGCUAGGGGAGCGAACGGG